AAAUUCAUAAAGAAACACAAAGAAAAGAACAUCAAUUGAUUCGAUAAAUAAAUGGAGGAGGGAAACAAAACCUUAUUAUUUUCGUAUUCUUGUCUUAUUAUAUUUUGAAAAUCAAUUAAGAAAUCAAGCUCCUUUCUUUCCAUCCCUCCCCUCUGAUGCUAAUUUAUAUAUUACACUCUGAUCAUCAUUUUAGAAUCUAUGCCGUGUAUGGAGCUGGCAUGGGCAUACCCUUCACAAUACCGCAAAGAGGGUGGUUGUCCGGGAGGUUGUACUCAUCCCUCAAGGAGCGCGACGGGGAGAGAACACUAAAAUAUAAUUGUUGUCCUAAGUAGAAUCUCUCCCACAUCUCUGAUCGCAAGUUCCACAUUCCUGCAUUGUCCAAAGUUGUCAUAACGGCUGCCCACGAGUUUGGAUAGACUUGAAUGCUGUGCCUACUUACUGCGUCUACUAAGUUAUAGUUCUUCCUCUUCUCAGGGCUCCACUUCCCAGGCUCGAUGGACACUGCAAAGAAGGAGUACCCAUCCAAAUGAUAGGUCUGGAUAGUCUUUUCUUGGUUCUCGAAGAUAAUCUCCACGAAAUUACGGAAGGUAGCAUUCUUCACAUUCGAGGAAAUUGUCACUUUGCUCAAGUCAGAUGGGGGCUCAUCGGCUAUCAGGUCGUACUUGAAGGUCUUUUCAGGAACUCCGAAAAACUCAACAAGCUUUAAUGGGGUGUCAGUAUCCAUAUGGGAGAUACCAUUCAAGGCGAAUCGAAGCUUGCCAGCU
rnacentral:lncRNA from 1 species